CAGGAAGUUUCUGCGCAGCGUUGGAGAUGGGGAGACUGUGGAAUUUGAUGUCGUGGAAGGAGAGAAGGGCGCAGAAGCCACUAAUGUAACUGGGCCUGGGGGAGUACCCGUGAAGGGCAGCCGUUAUGCCCCCAACCGACGUAAGUCCCGCCGAUUCAUCCCCCGGCCUCCCUCAGUUGCCCCACCACCCAUGGUGGCAGAGAUCCCCUCGGCGGGGACAGGACCUGGCAGUAAAGGGGAGCGGGCUGAAGACUCUGGGCAACGGCCCCGACGAUGGUGCCCCCCACCCUUCUUCUACCGACGGCGGUUUGUGCGAGGCCCCCGGCCUCCCAACCAGCAGCAGCCUAUAGAGGGCACUGACAGGGUAGAACCCAAAGAGACAGCCCCAUUGGAGGGGCACCAACAGCAGGGAGAUGAGCGAGUCCCCCCGCCCAGAUUCCGGCCCAGGUACCGAAGGCCUUUCCGCCCCAGGCCACGCCAGCAGCCUACCACAGAAGGUGGGGAUGGUGAGACCAAGCCCAGCCAAGGUCCCGCUGAUGGUUCCCGGCCUGAGCCCCAGCGCCCACGAAACCGCCCCUACUUCCAGCGGAGACGGCAGCAGGCCCCUGGCCCCCAGCAGGCCCCUGGCCCCCGGCAGCCCGCAGCCCCUGAGACCUCAGCCCCUGUCAACAGUGGGGACCCCACCACCACCAUCCUGGAGUGAUUCCAACUCAACUCAGAGGACACCCAGAGCUGCCAUCUGGUAUCUGCCAGUUUUUCCAAAUGACCUGUACCCUACCCAGUACCCUGCUCCCCCUUUCCCAUAAUUCAUGACAUCAAAACACCAGCUUUUCACCUUUUCCUUGAGACUCAGGAGGACCAAAGCAGCAGCCUUUUGCUUUUUCUUUUUUCUUCCCUCCCCUUAUCAAGGGUUGAAGGAAGGGAGCCAUCCUUACUGUUCAGAGACAGCAACUCCCUCCCGUAACUCAGGCUGAGAAGGAACCAGCCAGCUCUUACCUCCUCCUGGUUGCUUUUCUUGCCCCCACCCCAAGUUUAUUUUUGUUUUCCCCCGGCCCCCUACCUCUGAAGCCAUUUUAUGAUCUGUCAUGUGCCACCUGAGCCUCCAGUAAAAACAAAAACA
rnacentral:lncRNA from 1 species